GCUGAAAGUGAGCACGGAAGGUCCAAC
rnacentral:sRNA from 1 species